CCGAGCCGCAUCUGCAACCUACAUCACAGCUCAUGGCAAUGCCAGCCAGAUCCUUAACCCACCGAGGGAGGCCAGGGAUCCAAGCCGCAUCCUCUUGGAUGCUAGCCGGGUUCUUAACUCCCUGAGCCAUGGCAGGAACUCCGCUCCGUCAUCUUAUUCCACUAGACACGCCUGCCUAUUAUUCCAAAGAGCGACACUGUCUUCCAGGGUGGCUAACUCUACAAAUACUGAGAAGCUCAUCCAGAACAAAGGCAGCCCCUGCCUCUCACAGCAGGAAGACAUGUGAAGGGCACGUGGAGAUGAUACAUUACCUGUUUCAUAGUCUAUUUGCUGACAGUAAUAAAUGAUAAGCAAACACAGGUGGUAGCAAAAAAUAGCCCGGCCCUUGAACCUUUCUGCAGCCCUUCAAGCCUCCAUAGGCAGCUGAUAAACAGGAAAACUUUUUCUGAGCUGGGAUGGAUAGUGUUUACGAUAAGAUGAAAAGUAAUCUGAGGACUCUAUUCUUGGGAGAAUGUUCAUGGAACAUGAUUAUAAGAUACAGACGACGAGCUAAAUUAAAACAUCAGCUUUUACAUGCGAUGACAUCAGCGUCCCUUUCAUGCCCCCACUGGACAGUUCUUUCUCGUUAAACCAGAGAAUGAAAACUAUUCUAAAUGACAGUUUUCCAGCUAAAAACUACUCUGAUUUCUCUUUCCCAUGUUGACUAUUUCGAAAGCAUCUCAUUGAGAAACUGCCUUAACUGACUUCACAGCAGGAGAAACUCUCAUUGAGUUUGAGUGAAACAACCUUGGGUUAGCCAUAAUUAAUCUCAUAUUUGAUGUGUUCCUUUUAUUUUCUAUGAGCAAGCAACAAAAGAAGCUCUAAUUGACUAAAAUUCUUUUUUUUUUUGUCCUUUUAGGGCCACACCCACGGCAUAUGGAGGUUCCCAGGUUAGGGGUCCAAUCAGAGCUGUUGCUGCCAGCCUAUGCCAGAGCCACAGCAAUGUCAGAUCCAAGCUGUGUCUUCGACCUACACCACAGUUCACAGCAAUGCUGGAUGCUGAGGGAGGACAGGGAUUGAACCCACAACCUCAUGGUUCCUAGUCAGAUUUGUUUCCACUGCGCCACGACGGGAAUGCCUCCCGAAUGACUAAAAUUCUAAAUUCAGUGCUGAUAGAAAAUUUUCAUUAGCAGAAAGGUGGCCCAGCUAUAAUUCUGUGAAAGCUGCCGGCAUUACCCCAACUCUUAGUAUCAAAUGGCAAGAUUAGGGGAUGACUCUUUAGAGCUGAUGGUACAUUAAAUGGCUAUGAUAAAAGAAGAAGAAAAAAAACUAGUCUCCUAGUUGGAUUGUAUUCCAGAAACUGCCCUUACAGGCAUAUUGUGGUUCUUCUAGUGUUAGUUAAACUUCUAAUAAAUGUAUUUUUAAUCAGUUCAAAAAACAACAUUUUAAAGUUCUGCUCAUUGCCUUAGAUGUUCUAAAAUGUGGGGGGGAAACGGCAUAUUGAAAAGGGGCAUAUUUUAAGUGAAAGGCGGGAGAAAACAGGUAUAUGGCAGAUGCCUUUUUGUCUCCCUCCAUUAUCCAUGUCGAUAAAUCUGCAGGAGCGCACAGUCCAGACCUCAGUACGUGGCGACCACGGAGAAUGGAACGAACAGCUUCUUCUGGUGAAAGGAAUAAGCACACUCACUGCUCCCCCUGCAAUCCUGGAAGUAGAGGGGAGCAGAGACGGAACGCCAGGGGAGAAUAACCCAAUAGCACAACCAGGGUCACCAGCCAGUGUCACUGAGUCUCAACUGGAAACAACCAAGGUGCCCAAGUGAAGCAGCUGAAAAACGGAUGCAGCGGGAGAGCAGCAGUUUCCUGGGGCACAGCACAAGAGAGCAUUCGGUGACAUUCCCGAUCACGUGAAAACCACGAGGCAAAAUCAUACAGCAAAAAUCACGAAGCUCCAGGAUCAACGUGUGCAUAAAGCAAAGGGUGUUUUGAGCCCAGAGGUAAGUGAGCUCUUCUCUUCAUCUGCAGGCAGUCUCCUCGCUUCACAGCUUUUAGCUGAAAGCUGUGUGUGUACAUUAGGGACUUGAUGACUUGCCCUGUGUUUUAGAUGGUUUCAGAACAACAGCAGAUAUGUUUUCUCAUUAUCUAUGUGCCAGGCUCUCUUCUCAGCAUUCUAAGUAUAAUGUCUCAUUUAUGCCCAUGAUAACCCUGGGAAGUAAAUACCAUUACUGUCAUCCUUGAAUUUACAGAGGAAGAAAUUGAGACGUGGGGAUAGUUAGUAAAUUUCCCCAAAUCAUCCUACCCAUGAGCGAUAGGACUAGUUUCAAACCCAGCCUAUCAAGCUGCAAAGUCUAGGGUUUAAAUAAAAGUGACUUACUUCACUUAGUAUGAGAAUCUCUAGUUGAAUCCAUGUUGCUGCAAAUGGCAUCAUUUCAUUCUCGUUAUGGCUGACUAUUCCAUUCAGAAAGAAAAAGACAAAAUAUGAUAUCACUUAGAUGUGGAAUUGAAAAUAUGGCACAAAUGAACCUAUCUAAAAAACAGUCCCACAGACAUAGAGAACAGACUUGCUGAGAGAGAGGGGACAGAGCAGGAUGGACUGGAGUUUGGGGUUAGUAGAUGCAAACUCUGACAUGUAGAAUGGAUAAGCAAUGAGGCCCUACUAUACAGCACAGGAAACUACAUCCAGUCCCGAGAUAGACCAUGAUGGAAGAUAAUAUAAGAAAGGGAAUGUUCAUUGCAGCUCUAUACACAAUAGCCAAGACAUGGAAACAACCCAAAUGUCCAUAGACAGAUGAUUGGAUUAGGAAGAUGUGGUAUAUAUACACAAUGGAAUACUACUCAGUCAUAAAAAAAGAACAAAAUAAGGCCAUUUGUAGCAACAUGGAUGGAACUACAGACUCUCAUAUUGAGUGAAAUGUCAGAAAGAAAAAUAGCAUAUGAUAUCACUUAUGUCUAGAAUCUAAUAUACAGCACAAAUGAACCUUUCCACAGAAAAGAAAAUCAUGGACUUGGAGAAGAGACUCGUGGUUGCCAAGGGGGAGCGGGAGGGAAUGGGGUGGAUUGCGAGUUGGGGGUGAAUAGAUGCAGACUGUUGCCUUUGGAAUGGAUUAGCAGUGACAGCCUGCUGUGUAGCACUGGGAACUAUGUCUAGUCCCUUAUGAUGGAGCAUGAUAAUGUGAGAAAAAAGAAUGUAUACAUGUAUAUGUAACUAGAUCACCAUGCUGUACAGUAGGAAAAAAAAUAAUGUAUUGGAAAAAUAAAAUUAAAAAAAAAGAAAGGGAAUGUAUAUAUACGGAUAACCGAAUCACUUUGCUGUACAGCAAAGUGACACAACAUUGUAAAUCAACUAUACGUUAAUUUUUUUUCAUCAAUCAAGCAAAGUCUUUAUUACAGGAAAGCAAACAGCCCCCAGGACUGCUGGGAGGGGGAAGAAGAGCCUUCACUCUCUAUAUGUUAGAAAAAGGAAGAAAAAAAAAUGAUUAGCAUGUGCACAUGGACAUGAUAGUAUACAGAUAUAAAUAUUCAGAUGUAUACCUGGAUGUGAAUUUAUUUCACCCCAUAUCUUCCCAAAUAUAAAGAGGGAGCCAGUUUUUCUUUAAAAGUAACAGAUGGAAUUCACUUGCGCUGGCAAAUUCAGGCUUUGCAAGGACUUCAUCAUGAUGCAAAAGCUUUUUAAAAAAUUUUUUUCUUCCAGUAUGUAAAUACCAAGUAUUUUUCUUUACAAACUUUUUAAUACACCAAGGAUGUACUGCUGUUCCCAAGACGCCCUCAUUUGUACACACAUAUAUCCUGCACCUGGCACACUAGAAUAAUGUCAACUGUGUUUACUUCAAUAAUUACCUUCAAACAAACACAUGUAGUGAUUUUAUAUGAAUGUCAGCUCCCACAUGGCACUUUUCCUGUCUAGCUAAGGCCUUGAGGAAAUAUAUUAAUGGAUCAAAACCAGGGAAAACACCAAUCCAGCCCUUGAAACAUUAAGGGAACUGGAAUUUCUGUGAUUUCCCCAGAGGUAUUAUUACAUUCUUCUUCUCAAAUAACACUCUCCAUAAAGACACGUAAAUCAGACAAGAGAACAGUCAUUUGAAAUGACAAUAGGUUACAUUCCUCAAAAACCAGUAGGAGGUUAUUAUUAAGGUGGAAAUAAAGUAAUUUUUUAUGUAGAUCAAAGAUACAAAUUUUAGCAUCUGUAUCUUUACAAAAUGCGGGUAUCUAGGUCCUUGCUCAGAAAUUCUGAUGUAUUGAGUUCUGGGCAUGGCUGGGGCACCAUGGAUGUUUUUACCCCUCUGGACAUUUCCUCUGUCCAGUUCAGGUUGAUAACUAUUGCUUUUAGAGGAACAGUUAUACAGACAUAUAACCCUAUGCCCUAUGGGGUCAUGAGCUUUUGUACUUAGGGUCAGCGUUUGUGUAGACAGCUGGCUGAACUGGACUUCACACCAGGAUCAUGACGGAGGAGUGACUUAUAUUUUGAGAUUCUUAUUCACCUAGUCCCCUUUAGGUAAGAGUUUGCCUGAUGGACGCUCUCUUGCCUUUAUUACAAAUAUAAGCAUAUACAGUCCAGCCAAGUAACCAUUAACUCAUAUUAAUACCACUCUGUGACUCCCCAGAUGUUACAGAUUUGGGGCUACCCCUGUGAUCGCUACCACCACCUCCCCUUUCUUCACAGUGGGUAUGUUGGCACCCACCCAGCAGAGGGCCAAUUUGCCAGUACUCAGGCCACUUGAUGACCCCGUGACUUUGCAUAAACCGAUCCCUGUGGACGGUUUAUCACUAGGUUCUCAAAGUGAUUUUGAUUUACCAGUUGACACUGACCAGCGUUUAUUUUUAUUAUUAUUCUAAACUGCAUUUGCAUUCGCCAGGAUGGAUGCUCAUACCCAAGCACAGAUGGAGAGGAUCGGAUGAGAUCGAUUCUAGCAAACCUUAACUGCACAGCUGGACCGUACAUCCUCCUCUGACCUGUGCUGAACGAGAGAGGAGUGAUGGUCUGGGUGGCGCCCUCCUCUGCGGUGGUACCUAAGUGACUGACGUCACUUCCACCUACAAUCUCAUGGCCUAAAUGCGUCAAAGAGCCCCAGCUCACUGCAAGUGGGCCAGGAAGCAUGAAAGACUCGCGCUGCCAAGACAACAGAGGAUCGCUGCAUUGAUUAGUUAGUGAUGCCUUCACCAAACCAGAGGAGGGAUUCUGCAUGUUGCCUGACCCAUCAUUAGAAAGCUACAGAGGAACUGUUUUACCUGGAGCAAUUCGUACAAUAAUUUCAUCUCCAGCUUUCAAUAAUUCCAAACACAGAAACAGGCAUAUUUUUUGAAAAAAAAUAUAUAAUACUACACAUUUUGCUGAUUAUGAAAUGACCUAAACCUAGCAUCUGAUAACAGUGGAGGAGCCUGGCAGUAUCAUUAUCAGUCUCUCAAAUGUUGUUACCCAACAGCUUAAAGGACAGGCUCUACUGUGAGCAAUGAGCGUUUACCAGGAUACGAUGAUGACCCACUGAUCUGAUUAUUCUCAUGUCAAUCUCUGCUACAAGGACCUCCCGAAAUUCAUUCAAGAGCCUUUCGAUACUCAUUUAUUACUUUGCUUACUGCUUGGCCUAUUUUCACAGCAAAAAAUGGACCCUAAAAAUAGUAUUUUACUCUCUGAACUAUAUCUUUAAAGUUAGAAACCUAUGUGUAGGAAUGCCUGGUUCAUUAAACAUAAUUUUAUUAUACAUAAUUUUUAGAUACUUAAGACCAAUGAAAAUUUUGUCAGCUUUGAGCUUAAUAAGUCUCAGUAUUUUAAAACCACCUCAGUUCACGAACAGAAUAAAGAGUUAUGUAUAUGCAUAUGUAUCAACAGUUGUGAGAAAUAUGUUCACAAAGUUUUCCUGCAUAGUUACCUAGAUUAGCCAUCAAGGCUUCAAGUAUCGAACAGUUUUUUUGAUUUACUGCUAUACAUGAAAUGCCAACAUGCAAUUUGUAAGGUAUAUUAGAUCAUUAUUAAUUGAAACAUUUAAUUGAUUUUAAUAUAAAAUGACCUGUGGCUAGUGGACAUCAAGGACUCCAUAAAUUUUAAAUAACCUGGUGCCAUACUUUAUGGAAAAUUCAUGGGUUGAUUAGUUUCCAUACAAAACAGAUUUCAGAUGAGGUCAUGAAAAGGAAAGAAAUUUUUCUUUAAUGCAUAAACUCAUUAGAACAUGGAAAGAAAAAGACUAUUUUUCCAAAGUAUCAAUGUCCUAAUAUACAUUUUCAAUGCAGGGUAUUUAGCCUACUCAUAGCUAGAAAUAUAAUUUUAUUUUUAAACAGUUCUUGACUGCAUUUUCCCUCAAGAGUACAAGAAUUCCCCUUUAGAGUUCC
rnacentral:lncRNA from 1 species